rnacentral:rRNA from 1 species
GAGGCGUUCAUGUGCGGUUUGUUGAUGGUGCGAAUUCUCUUUGACUAGGGAUCCAAAGAGGGUGCUAGACCCUUACGCAUUGUUGACUUUUCGUACGCGUUCGUUUCUUGGAGUAGGGUUGUUUUGGAUCGCAGCCCAAAGUAGGUGGUAUACUUCAUCUAAAGCUAAAUACGACUACGAAUCCGAUAGCAAACAAGUACCGUGAGGGAAAGUUGCAAAGUACUUUGAAGAGAGAGUUCAAGAGGACGUGAAACCGGUAGGGUGGAAGCAGAUAAAGUUGACGAACGUGUGUCGUAUUCAGAACUACAAUUUGUGGUUUGUUUUUACGAUCGAUGUGGGCUGGCGUCUUUGGUUAACUUAGUGUCUGGCGGCAAUGGUGACCCUGCGGAGGGAUAAUCGGUUGUCGUGCGAUGCUUGGUAUGGCUAGAGGUUCGCUGGUCUUAUAGUCAUCGCUUUAUCUGACCCGUCUUGAAACACGGACCAAGGAGUGUACCGCUUACGCGAGUCUUAGAGUGUGUCAAAACUUUGAGGCGUAACGAAAGUAAAUGUGGAUUUAUUCACUGACUUGGGAUGCGUUGUCUUUUUUGGAUAGCGUUGGACCAUGGUUUUAUCGUAAUCGCUUGCGAUGCGGUGAAAAUAGAGCGUAAGCGGUGCGACCCGAAAGAUGGUGAACUAUGCCUGAGCAGGAUGAAG